ensembl:piRNA 21ur-6295 ncRNA
UUUUCAAUGUGACUGUUCGAG